UACGUAGGGGGGCAAGCGUUGUCCGGAUUUAUUGGGCGUAAAGAGCGUGUAGGCGGCCGUACAGGUCAGCUGUGAAAACUCGAGGCUCAACCUCGAGACGUCGGUUGAAACCGUACGGCUAGAGUCCGGAAGAGGAGAGUGGAAUUCCCCGGGUGUAGCGGUGAAAUGCGCAGAUAUCGGGAAGAACACCCAUGGCGAAGGCAGCUCUCUGGGACGGUACUGACGCUGAGACGCGAAAGCGUGGGGAGCAAC
rnacentral:rRNA from 1 species